rnacentral:lncRNA from 1 species
UUUCAUUUAUGAUAAAUGAAUCUAUUUGAAUCUACUGCUCCAUCAGUUGUUUUGAUUUUCUACCAACCUUUAUUUUUGUAACGGCGAUAUAGUGUGAUAUCCUUACUGGGUUUGUAUAGCUCACCUCUUAUUUAACCAUUUCAGAUCAGGAGGACUUGGUUCCUGAGACCGAUCUGCAAGAAGGCUACGAGUAGAUGCUAGAUAGUUUAUAGUUUCAUUUAUUUUUUUUCCAUUUUUCGUAUUU